rnacentral:lncRNA from 1 species
AUAAUAUAUGCUAAAAAAAAGGUGUUUUAAUAGCUUAUUAAUCUAUACAAUAUAUAACUUCCCCUUUAAACAAUACCAUUUACUUCUGCUCCAUAUCUUCCCAGAGUUGCUUCAUCUUCUACUUGGUGGACUACAAGCCCCUCAGGUUUAAAUGGUGGUACGUGUAGCCAGACUGGGCCUUUGCACUGGGCUGGGCCAUGGCCCUCUCCUCCAACCUCCUGGUGCCACUGUGAUCGAUUGGCAGGAUCUAUGUUGGCACAGGCCGCCUCAGGCAGAAUGGACCAUAAUCAUGCACCUGUCUCGAAACCUGGGCAGCGGGAAAAAAUACAUGUCAUCUAUGCACUUAAAUAGCAAAUGGAGGACGCUUUUCCUGUGGUUCAUUAUCAUGCCAGCCAGGAAGGUGAGAAGAUAUACACACGGCGAAUGGAAGGAGAAAGUCUCCCAUGUCUCUCAUUUUACAAGCUUCCAGUUCCCUUAGAUGUAGCAGCAGAAAAUGGUGUUGUCCUCAAAGGGAGUUUUUGUUUUUGCACAAGACAUGAUUAUAUACAAAAUAAACACCACUUACACAAGAAUAGACAAUUAUUUAAAUUUCUUUAAUAAAAUGACAGUUUCAAUAAGUCACACAAUCUCACCGGUAUAGUGAAAAACAAGUCAUAUUCUACUCAUAGGCCUACAGAAUGAAGACAUUUUACUGUUGAAAAUGAGAGAGAAAAUGUUUGUUAUAAAACCCCACUGUUCACUGUAACCUAUUACAUGCCCUUACGGACUUAGGCUAUUGGAUAAUGAUAAUUUAAAAUGGUUAGGAUAGUUCACACUCUCACUGGAUUAGUGAAGGCCAUGUCCCAUACCACUCAUACACUAAGGCAUUUUUUAUUGUGGAAAUUAACAUUUGGGCUAGUCGUUUUGAAAUUCUUGUGGUAAGGUGCUGUGUCUCUGUAUAGGGCAAUGGCGAAAGUGUGUUGUAGAUAUUGGGGUGGAC